rnacentral:rRNA from 1 species
AGGGCACCACCAGGAGUGGAGCCUGCGGCUUAAUUUGACUCAACACGGGAAAACUUACCCGGCCCGGACACUGGAAGGAUUGACAGAUUGAGAGCUCUUUCUUGAUUCAGUGGGUGGUGGUGCAUGGCCGUUCUUAGUUGGUGGAGCGAUUUGUCUGGUUAAUUCCGAUAACGAACGAGACUCUAGCCUACUAAAUAGACUGCCGGCUCAUAUCCGUCGGCAGGACUUCUUAGAGGGACAGGCGGCGACUCAGCCGCACGAAACAGAGCAAUAACAGGUCUGUGAUGCCCUUAGAUGUCCGGGGCCGCACGCGCGCUACACUGAAGUGAUCAGCGUGCAUCAGUAACCCUCUCUGUCAAGAGUGGGUAACCCAAUGAACCUUCUUCGUGAUUGGGAUAGGGCAUUGUAAUUAUUGCCCUUGAACGAGGAAUUCCCAGUAAGCGCGAGUCAUAAGCUUGCGUUGAUUACGUCCCUGCCCUUUGUACACACCGCCCGUCGCUACUACCGAUUGAAUGAUUU